AAAAGAAAACGAAAACGAAAACGUCGACGCGUACGGAAAGAAUUUAGCUGCUCUUUUCGUUUUUUAUUUAUUUAUUUGCUUUAAAUGCAUUUUAAAAUAAACAAAUUGGAUGAGCAUUGAUGCAUUUCGGCAUAAUGCAAUACAAUAAAUUGUAGUGAAAUUGUGCAAAAUUGAGUGUAUAUAUUUUAAAGUAAAUUUUUACUUGCGUUUCCUUGCUCAUUGUCUCGUCGCGUAGUCCGUCUCGUUCGGUUGAUUGCAGUGGCAGCGAAGUAGCAGCGCAGCAGAGAUAGAAACAAAUUGUGCUCCGAAAAUUGUAACUCCGCGUAGAUAUCAAAUAAAAUAUGCAAUUGAACAACGAGCUUCAAAUCAACAGUCGACGGUCAGACUGAUUGCUGACUGACUGCUGAAUGCCGCCCUAGAAAGUAAACAUUAUAAACUAACAACAACUACAAAAUAAUAACAAAAACGGACUAAAGCAAAGCUAUAAGUGGAAAUUAAAACCGACAAUGAUGGCCAUAACAGCAGCGGCAGCAGCGACAGCUUAGUAUUCAGCAUAUACACAAACAUACGUACUGGAAGAAGUGCAAGUACUGUUGAAGAAAGUCUCGAGUCUCCAAUGCAGCCAAAGUCAUCUGCAUAUUAACUGCAACAAACACACACACACAUAUAGCGCAUUCGCAUACAUACAGACAUAUGUACAAAUAUACAUAUUAGUGUGUGUGAAAAGUGCGACGAAAGCGCUGUGCAGAGAAUUUUCAAGCUUAACGCACUUGCAGCACAACUAGCCGUAGGUGUGUGAUAAAGUGAAAUACAUAUCAGACACAGUUUUAAUGCAUUCACGUUAUCAACGUGGCCAACAACAACAGCGACAAGCACAUCAGCAAAACAUAAUCAUAAUAUAUUUAACUGCAUUAGAAAACUCAUAAAUUUAGAAGAAAAAAACAGUAAAUAUUUACAUUAGUGGCACCGUAAGUGCCAAGUUUGCGACAAUAUUAACAGCUAAAGUGAUAUUUGUUGGCAACUAAUGGAUCCAUAUCAUCAUAUCAGACAUCAUUAUCCACCCACGCGUCCCGAAUUGCAACAAAAAUGCAAUCGCGGCUCACAUUCGAGUGACACGAGCUCAGCGUACAGUGGCAGCGAUACAAUGGCGUCUGUGUACGGCUCCUCAAUGGAUGCGGAGGAGAUCGAUCUCUCCGGUUUGGUGGAGUCGGUGGUGGACUCCGAUGAGGAGGACUUGGCGGAGAGUAUGGAUAGUCUAAAUGUGCGCGAUGCGGUGCGUGAUUGCCUGGAGAAAGAUCCCUCCGAACGCACAGAGGAAGAUGUCGAAAUACUGCUGGAAUUCACACAAGGCUUGAAGGCCUUCACCAAUAUAACGUUGGCGGUGCGACGCGCACUCUGCGCCGUCAUGGUGUUUGCUGUAGUCGACAAAGCAGGCACCGUGGUGAUGUCCGAUGGUGAAGAGCUCGAUUCGUGGUCGGUGCUUAUAAAUGGCGCCGUAGAGAUUGAGCAUGCGAAUGGCACGCGUGAAGAACUGCAAAUGGGUGAUUCCUUUGGCAUACUACCCACCAUGGAUAAGCUAUAUCAUCGUGGUGUAAUGCGUACCAAAUGUGACGAUUGUCAGUUCGUUUGCAUAACACAAACCGAUUACUAUCGCAUACAGCAUCAGGGUGAGGAGAAUACGCGACGACACGAAGAUGAGGAUGGGCGCAUAGUAAUGGUCACCGAAUUGCGUCAAAUCGGCAGCAAUGAACAUGGUGCAACGGGUAGUAAUGCGAGCGCUGCUAGCGCCGCGGGCAUGAAACGUGGUCAUGUGGUGAUACGCGGCACACCCGAACGUUUGCUGCAACAGUUGGUGGAGGAGAAUUCAAUGACUGAUCCGACAUAUGUGGAGGAUUUUUUGCUCACACAACGUAUUUUCAUCAAAAACCCACAAGAGGUAACGCAAAAGCUGCUCGCCUGGUUCGAGAGUGAUGCCGAGCCGCCAAAGGGCAGUACAGCGUCACCACAAGAGAUACGCGACCGUGUCACACGCGUCGUCUUGUUGUGGGUGAACAAUCAUUUUACCGAUUUUGAGGCUGAUCAUGAAAUGAUGGAGUUCCUGGAGGUAUUCGAGGCUGGUUUGGAGCACACCCGACUGCUGAGUCAGCUGCGUUUGCUGCAUAUAGCGUGUGCGGCCAAAGCGCGCAUGCGCAGCUGUACAUUGACACGUUCGUCACGUGAUGAACCUUUAAACUUCAAUAUUAUUGGCGGUUAUGAGAUGCGCGGUAUUACCGCAGCAACUGGCGGUGGCGGUUGUGGCAUAUACAUAGCACAUGUAGUGCCCGGUUCGAAGGCGCAAGAUGUGGGUCUCAAGCGUGGCGAUCAAAUACACGAGGUGAACGGUCAGUCCUUCGAACAUGUGACGAGUAAACGUGCAAUGGAAAUACUAAUGGGUAGCACACAUCUGAGCAUAACGGUAAAAAGCAAUCUGCUCGGCUUCAAAGAGAUGAUGUUGGCAAUUGAACAAGGUGGUAAUGGUAGCAGUGGCAGCAAUGGUGCCGGCACGCCUAUCGGUAGUGGCAGCGGCAGCAGUGGCGGCUCACUAGGCAGCAAAUCAUUGCGUAGUCCACGUCGUAUAUGUGCCAAUGACAUUGCCAAGUUACAUGGCCGCUGUAUGUUGGACGAUAUGACCACCACAAAUCGUUCGCAUAUGCUGCGACUCAGCUCAGUCGAUAUGUUAUUGCCCACGGACCAAACAGACAGUUGUCCGCCAGCCACACCGCCACCGGUUAUGCCGCAACAGCCGAGCAGCGGCGGUGGUAAUAUGGCCAGUAAUUUUAUGUCGAAUCUUUUGCAAAGUGUUAGUAAUGCAUCAGCGCGCAAGGACUCGCAAGCCAAUUGCAAUGACGGCGGUGGCGGUUCCAAAGGUGGCGGUUUUAUGACGCUUGCGCCGAGACGUCGCAUACAAAAAGCGCUGGCGAAAAUGAAUUUGUUGCAGCACAAAAGCAUCGGUGGCGCCGGUUUGAAUGAUUCUGUCGAUAUAGCCACGCCCACGGAGACGAUGUCACAAAAAGCCGGCAAACUGACCACUUCCUCUUCCAGUUCCUCAUCUACCUGCGGCGGUGUUGGCGGCGGUAAUCGCCUAUACCAAUCGCAAUCCAAUCCGGAUUUGAGUUCAUCACUGCUGUAUGAAGACGCCACUUCUUUAACAACCAGCACUGCUACAGCGCCGACGCCAACACCCAACUAUCUGACUGCCUCCAUGCAUCGGCCAUCGGCCGUUUCCACAACAAGCUCCGCUAUGCUGCCCGAUUACCCCGAGCAUGUGUUGAAAGUCUUCAAAGCCGAUCAGUCAUGCAAGUAUUUGCUCAUCAAUAAGGAGACGACGGCGCACGAAGUUGUUAUGUUGGCGCUGCAAGAGUUCGGCAUACAUGACCCCAGCUCGAAUUAUUCGCUUUGUGAGGUUAGCGUCGGUGAGGGUGGCAUGGUGAAACAACGUCGCCUACCCGAUCAACUGCAGAACUUAGCCGAGCGUAUUGGUUUUGCAGCGCGCUACUAUUUGAAAACAAACGGCAGUACCGAGACACUGGUGCCCGACGAAUUGGCGCUCGAGUUGGUGCGUGAGUCGAGUGUGCAUUUUCUGCAGCUGAACGCCUACGAGUUGGCCAUACAAUUGACACUGCAAGACUUCGCCAUCUUUCGGCAAAUCGAAUCGACUGAGUAUAUCGAUGAUCUGUUCAAUCUGAAGACGAAAUACGGUGUACCAAUGUUAACGAAAUUCGCCGAACUCGUUAAUCGUGAAAUGUUUUGGGUCGUCACCGAGAUCUGCAGUGAACAUAAUAUUGUGCGUCGCAUGAAAAUUGUCAAGCAAUUCAUAAAGAUUGCGCGUCACUGCAAAGAGUGUCGCAACUUCAAUUCCAUGUUCGCCAUCAUAUCGGGACUCGGACAUGCGGCUGUGUCACGCUUGCGUCUUACCUGGGAAAAACUGCCGUCUAAAUAUCAACGGCUCUUCUCCGACUUGCAGGAUCUCAUGGACCCCUCACGCAACAUGUCAAAAUAUCGCCAACUUGUCUCUUCCGAGCUGCUCGCACAACACCCCAUCAUACCGUUCUAUCCGAUUGUGAAGAAGGAUCUCACCUUCAUUCACCUAGGCAAUGACACGCGUAUCGAAGGUCUCAUUAACUUUGAAAAAUUACGUAUGCUCGCCAAAGAGGUGCGUCUACUAACGCAUAUGUGCUCAUCGCCCUACGAUCUGCUCGCCAUACUCGAACUUAAAGGUCAAUCACCCUCGAAUGCGCUCUUCUCGCUCAAUCAGCUGUCCACUUCACAAAAUGCCGGCGGCACACACAGCACCGUUAUCGCCGCUAAUGCCGGCCAAUCGACUAUAAAGCGUCGCAAAAAGUCUACAGCGGCACCGAAUCCAAAGAAAAUGUUCGAAGAGGCACAAAUGGUGCGUCGCGUCAAGGCAUACCUGAAUAAUUUGAAAAUCAUCAGCGAUGAGGAUGCACUGCACAAAUUCUCGCUUGAAUGCGAACCGGCAUCCAAUUCACAAACACACGGCAGCAGCGGCGGUAGUACGCGUGGUGAGAGCGGUUUGGGUCGCGAUGGCACCGGCAACUCAUCGACACGUAGCGGUGAUCAGCUGAGCAUCUAUUCGCACACGUCAUCCUCAUCGGCACCGAAUUCAUCGUUGUCGCUGCGCAAACGUCAUCCCUCAUCGCCCACACUCUCCACCACCAGCUCCACAUCGUCGACCAGCGAUCAUCAUAAUCGUCGCAAUAUGGCGCACAAUAACAACUCAAAAUUUGGCAUCGCCUCACCGCAAGCCGUCAAAAAGAUACUGGCGCUAUCCGAUCCGACGAAAGUGCGUCCACAUCAGCCGUUUACAGCGCGUCAUUCCGGCAUGCCACCACCACCGCCACCAUUGCUAGUUAAUACGCCGCAUCAUAUGCUUGCGCAUGCGUACAGCAACACCCCAGCGGGCAUGCCUUUAACUGCCGCUACUGGCACUUCCACAACGCCAAGUCCGUGUACGCAUCGACGUCUGGCAUCCGGCAGCAAUUCAAUGCCAACAGGUAAUAUGGUACCCGUGCGGGCCAUACAUGAACGUUCAAAUUCGGAUACGCCAACGCCACCAUUACCAUCUGUUGAUCUCUCAGUUGAAAGCAGCAGCGUUACCACAUUUCGAGACUUGCCUUUGCGCAAAUCUGUGACUUCGGACGCUGAUCAUCUAAUUUAAUAUGUAUAACAGCGUGUCGGCUUACAAACACACAACCACUACGUAGAUACGUAGACACGUAAACACGUUUACAUACAUUCAUACACUGUAGUUUUGCAAAAAUUGAGACGCAACUGUAGUUGGGCUCGGUGUCAUCCAGCGACAGCGGACACGGCUCAUAUGCACAACAACAUGACACCAGUAGCUCGGUUUACACCGCCGCCGAUUGCCGACUGCUCCAGCAAAUCUCCAAUACGGCGGCACGCAAUUUGAGCGGAAGCGGCG
rnacentral:misc_RNA from 1 species